rnacentral:rRNA from 1 species
UUAUCGUUUAUUUGAUAGUACCUUACUACAUGGAUAACCGUGGUAAUUCUAGAGCUAAUACAUGCUAAAAAGCCCGACUUCGGAAGGGUUGUAUUUAUUAGAUUAAAAACCAAUGCCCUUCGGGGCUCCCUGGUGAUUCAUAAUAACUUCUCGAAUCGCACGGCCUUGCGCCGGCGAUGGUUCAUUCAAAUUUCUGCCCUAUCAACUUUCGAUGGCUGGGUCUUGGCCAGCCAUGGUAGCAACGGGUAACGGAGGGUUAGGGCUCGACCCCGGAGAAGGAGCCUGAGAAACGGCUACUACAUCCAAGGAAGGCAGCAGGCGCGCAAAUUACCCAAUCCCGAUACGGGGAGGUAGUGACAAUAAAUACUGAUACAGGGCUCUUUUGGGUCUUGUAAUUGGAAUGAGUACAAUUUAAAUCCCUUAACGAGGAACAAUUGGAGGGCAAGUCUGGUGCCAGCAGCCGCGGUAAUUCCAGCUCCAAUAGCGUAUAUUAAAGUUGUUGAGGUUAAAAAGCUCGUAGUUGAACCUUGGGCCCAGCCGGCCGGUCCGCCUCACCGCGUGCACUGGCUCGGCCGGGCCUUUCCUUCUGGAGAACCGCAUGCCCUUCACUGGGCGUGCUGGGGAACCAGGACUUUUACUCUGAACAAAUUAGAUCGCUUAAAGAAGGCCUAUGCUCGAAUACAUUAGCAUGGAAUAAUAGAAUAGGACGUGUGGUUCUAUUUUGUUGGUUUCUAGGACCGCCGUAAUGAUUAAUAGGGACAGUCGGGGGCAUCAGUAUUCAAUUGUCAGAGGUGAAAUUCUUGGAUUUAUUGAAGACUAACUACUGCGAAAGCAUUUGCCAAGGAUGUUUU